rnacentral:rRNA from 1 species
UACGUAGGGGGCAAACGUUGCUCGGAAUUACUGGGCGUAAAGGGUGUGUAGGCGGCUGGGCAAGUCAGAGAUGAAAUCCCGAGGCUCAACUUCGGAACCGUCUUUGAAACUGCCUAGCUUGAGGAUAGUUGAUGAAAAGGGAAUUCCCGGUGGAGCGGUGAAAUGCGUAGAUAUCGGGAGGAACACCUGAGGCGAAGGCGCUUUUCAAAACUACUCCUGACGCUGAGACACGAAAGCUAGGGGAG